rnacentral:rRNA from 1 species
AACGAACGCUGGCGGCAGGCCUAACACAUGCAAGUCGAACGCCGUAGCAAUACGGAGUGGCAGACGGGUGAGUAACACGUGGGAACGUACCCUUCGGUUCGGAAUAACUCAGGGAAACUUGAGCUAAUACCGGAUACGUCCGAGAGGAGAAAGAUUUAUUGCCGAGGGAUCGGCCCGCGUCUGAUUAGCUUGUUGGUGAGGUAACGGCUCACCAAGGCGACGAUCAGUAGCUGGUCGAGAGGAUGAUCAGCCACACUGGGACUGAGACACGGCCCAGACUCCUACGGGAGGCAGCAGUGGGGAAUAUUGGACAAUGGGCGAAAGCCUGAUCCAGCAAUGCCGCGUGUGUGAAGAAGGUCUUC